GAUGAAGAACGUAGCGAAAUGCGAUACUUGGUGUGAAUUGCAGAAUCCCGUGAACCAUCGAGUCUUUGAACGCAAGUUGCGCCCGAAGCCAUCAGGUUGAGGGCACGUCUGCCUGGGCGUCACAUAUCGUUGCUCGAUGCCUAUCGCAUUGCGAUAGGACUUAGGGCGAAUGAUGGCUUCCCGUGAGCGUUGUUGCCUCGCGGUUGGUUGAAAAUCGAGUCCUUGGUAGGGUGUGCCAUGAUGGAUGGUGGUUGAGUGAUGAUGCUCGAGACCAAUCAUGGGUAACUCCACCAGAAUUGGGCUCGGUGACCCACAUGCGUCCCUUGGAUGCCCCCUAAGGAGACCUCAGGUCAGGCGGGGCUACCCGCUGAGUUUAAGCAUAUCAAUAAGCGGAGGA
rnacentral:misc_RNA from 1 species